rnacentral:rRNA from 1 species
GCUAACACAUGCAGUCGAGCGGCAGCACGGGURCUUGUACCUGGUGGCGAGCGGCGGACGGGUGAGUAAUGCCUAGGAAUCUGCCUGGUAGUGGGGGAUAACGCUCGGAAACGGACGCUAAUACCGCAUACGUCCUACGGGAGAAAGCAGGGGACCUUCGGGCCUUGCGCUAUCAGAUGAGCCUAGGUCGGAUUAGCUAGUUGGUGAGGUAAUGGCUCACCAAGGCGACGAUCCGUAACUGGUCUGAGAGGAUGAUCAGUCACACUGGAACUGAGACACGGUCCAGACUCCUACGGGAGGCAGCAGUGGGGAAUAUUGGACAAUGGGCGAAAGCCUGAUCCAGCCAUGCCGCGUGUGUGAAGAAGGUCUUCGGAUUGUAAAGCACUUUAAGUUGGGAGGAAGGGCAGUUACCUAAUACGUGAUUGUUUUGACGUUACCGACAGAAUAAGCACCGGCUAACUCUGUGCCAGCAGCCGCGGUAAUACAGAGGGUGCAAGCGUUAAUCGGAAUUACUGGGCGUAAAGCGCGCGUAGGUGGUUUGUUAAGUUGGAUGUGAAAUCCCCGGGCUCAACCUGGGAACUGCAUCCAAAACUGGCAAGCUAGAGUAUGGUAGAGGGUGGUGGAAUUUCCUGUGUAGCGGUGAAAUGCGUAGAUAUAGGAAGGAACACCAGUGGCGAAGGCGACCACCU